rnacentral:rRNA from 1 species
UACGUAGGGUGCGAGCGUUGUCCGGAAUUAUUGGGCGUAAAGAGCUCGUAGGCGGCUUGUCGCGUCGGAUGUGAAAUCCCAUGGCUCAACUGUGGGCUGGCAUUCGAUACGGGCAGGCUAGAGUUCGGUAGGGGAGACUGGAAUUCCUGGUGUAGCGGUGAAAUGCGCAGAUAUCAGGAGGAACACCGGUGGCGAAGGCGGGUCUCUGGGCCGAUACUGACGCUGAGGAGCGAAAGCGUGGGGAGCGAACAGG